rnacentral:rRNA from 1 species
UACGAAGGGUGCUAGCGUUGUUCGGAAUUACUGGGCGUAAAGAGUUUGUAGGCGGUCAUACAAGUCAGAGGUGAAAUCCCGAAGCUUAACUUCGGAACUGCCUUUGAAACUGUAUGACUGGAGUAUGUGAGGGGAUAGCGGAAUUCUUAAUGUAGAGGUGAAAUUCGUAGAUAUUAAGAGGAACACCAGUGGCGAAGGCGGCUAUCUGGCACAUUACUGACGCUGAGAAACGAAAGCGUGGGGAUCAAACAGG